CGUGUGUGUGUGUGUGGUAGUUCACAGAGGGCUCUUGGGGGCAAUUUCAAAAUUGCAAUAUAAAUAUGAGGAACCUGACCUGACUUCACUCUCACCCGAGGAAAAAACACACCUCCUCUGAACCACAAGUCAAAACUUUUAUUCCCAGCGCACAUCUCUGUGGCCUAGAACACACAUUGUGCAUAGACAAAGAGCAGCAACUGUGGUCUACAGUACAGGGACAGCAGACAAAAGAACAAAACAUAACGCAUGUCAGGUUAGCGCUCUGUGUCUUGGGUGACCCAACGUGGGGCCAGGGACCCAUAUCCCUUUACUAGAAGACGCCCCCUGCUCCAGGCACAGCUCCAGCCCAGGCCCAACGUCAAGGCCAGCCCCGCUAUCCCAUUGCCUGGACAAAGAGACCUUGGCUGGUAGGUAACCAAUGCCUGCAUGCAUAGAGGCAAUGGGGAAAUGACUGCCAUUCUCAUUCGGCAAAAACAACCACAUCUAUUGUGUGCAAAUACAUAUGAGAAGAAAACUAGAGAAGAAGAAGAAAUAGUUAAUAAAUGCAAAAAUGAAGGCAAAUGGAUCACAAAAGAGACUUGCAUCUAGUAACUUCCCCUGGUGAUGUAGUCCUCUUGAACACCUGGGAAAAUGCGGGAAACGGUAAGCCACUAGAGUCCUUAUUUAUUGACAAUAUUCGUUUGUAGUAGUAAUAGUCAAAUCAUCUAAUGGCUAUUCAUUAGUAAGAAACGAUAUAACGUGAAUCAACGUGACUAUACCUGACAUAAAUACAACUUUGAUACAUAACACCGUCUGUGCAAAUUAAUUAUUUUGCCUGAGUCACGUCUCAGGCAAAAUCAUUUUUUGCCUGUUUUUGCAAUGGUGGUGAGGAUGACAUUCCCCAGCGGUCAACAGAUCCCACGCUACUGCACAACGUCAUCCAACUUCUUUGGUUAUUGUUGAUUAUAUUUGUUCCUUAAAUAGUGGGAGCAUGCAAUAAUCCAACACUGUAAUCCAGCCAACAUGUAGUUGAACAGUAACUACUCAGCAGUACUCUGUGUCUCGGUCUGGCCUAGGCUGAAUCUCUGCCAGGGUCUUUAGCACCGAGAGCUAAAGGGUGAAGGUGUAAGUCAUUUUGAUGAAUACCUCUGCCCUUGGGCAAUUUAGGUAGCACUUCCACGGGCUGUUUCUUCUCUGACAAAUAGCCGGGGUGCUCAAAUAAAAACAGUGGACGAGGUAACAGACUUCUCUCUGUUCCGCAAAGCAGGGCAGGAAGCGGACGAUCGUCUAAGUAAUUUAGUGCUAUAGGUUGCUUGAUUCACCGGAUGAAUACAAGUGGCUGUUGAAAUAAGAGCCUUGUGUGGUGGCUAAUAAGCACUCGUUCCUUUUUACCGAGUCAUAUAAAUAGCCUCCACGCUGAAUCCAAGCUAGCUGGACACAAUUCAAACAAAACAAACAAUCGUCUCCUCCCACAUCUUUAGGCUGACUUCUAUGUUCUGACGUUUUUCUUUCACUCUGUGUCUCUCUGUCUCUCGCUGGAGAAAGAACGAGAACCAUCCAUCUCCAAGUCUCUCUCUCUCUCUCUCUCUCUCUCUCUCUCUCUCUCUCUCUCUCUCUCUCUCUCUCUCUCUCUCUCUCUCUCUCUCUCUCUCUCUCUCUCUCUCUCUCUCUCUCUCUCUCUCUCUCUCUCUCUCUCUCUCUCUUGUGGCAGCAACUGCUGUGUCCACCUGCAGAGGCCAACGGGCGUGAACCCUCUCUCUGGCUCUGUGGCGUGAAUACUGAUAUGAGGAAGAGGAUGAUCAGGACCGUUCACCCUGAGAGAAGCACUGCAGAACCAUGGCAUCUGAAAACAGCUGCGUGAAGCACCCAACACCAAUUAAGCAAAUGGGCAUUAAUUAAUCGCUAUGGGCAACAGGACACAGAAGGAGUGGAGCAGACUGGAUGGAUGGACUGCUGAGAGAGAAAAACAAAAGCACACACACACACACACACACACACACACACACACACACACACACACACACACA